UUAUACAACUGUCAUAUAACCAGAAUAUGACUCAUUGAACAGUUAGAAUGUUGUUACCCAAGUUUUGGAGGCUUCCUCAGUUGACCCAUGAGCUCACUUGUUUGACUGGACAAGAAUUCUUUCACAAGCCAAUAAUGAGUUAGCCACCUGGGGCGAAACCAUCUAAGAGACUUUCCAUCCGUCCUCAUCUGGCUAUGUUGACCUACGCACUAAGGGCCGUAUCGUGAAUAGUCGGUGGGACCUCAACUGGUCAGCAUAAAGGUGGCGAGUAACGACAGCCUGAUGACUUUCGAUCGGCCCUACGCUAGACGACUUCUAUUCGGUGCGACCUCAGUCAGUCCC
rnacentral:lncRNA from 1 species